rnacentral:rRNA from 1 species
AGCGGCGGAUGGGUGAGUAACACGUGGGGAACCUGCCCCUAAGUCUGGGAUACCAUUUGGAAACAGGUGCUAAUACCGGAUAAUAAAGCAGAUCGCAUGAUCAGCUUUUGAAAGGCGGCGUAAGCUGUCGCUAAGGGAUGGCCCCGCGGUGCAUUAGCUAGUUGGUAAGGUAACGGCUUACCAAGGCGACGAUGCAUAGCCGAGUUGAGAGACUGAUCGGCCACAUUGGGACUGAGACACGGCCCAAACUCCUACGGGAGGCAGCAGUAGGGAAUCUUCCACAAUGGACGCAAGUCUGAUGGAGCAACGCCGCGUGAGUGGAGAAGGUUUUCGGAUCGUAAAGCUCUGUUGUUGGUGAAGAAGGAUAGAGGUAGUAACUGGCCUUUAUUUGACGGUAAUCAACCAGAAAGUCACGGCUAACUACGUGCCAGCAGCCGCGGUAAUACGUAGGUGGCAAGCGUUGUCCGGAUUUAUUGGGCGUAAAGCGAGCGCAGGCGGAAAAAUAAGUCUAAUGUGAAAGCCCUCGGCUUAACCGAGGAACUGCAUCGGAAACUGUUUUUCUUGAGUGCAGAAGAGGAGAGUGGAACUCCAUGUGUAGCGGUGGAAUGCGUAGAUAUAUGGAAGAACACCAGUGGCGAAGGCGGCUCUCUGGUCUGCAACUGACGCUGAGGCUCGAAAGCAUGGGUAGCGAACAGGAUUAGAUACCCUGGUAGUCCAUGCCGUAAACGAUGAGUGCUAAGUGU